GUGAGGAAUUUUCCGCAAUGGGCGAAAGCCUGACGGAGCAAUGCCGCGUGAAGGAUGAAGGCCUAUGGGUUGUAAACUUCUUUUCUCAGAAAAGAAUUAUGACGGUAUCUGAGGAAUAAGCAUCGGCUAACUCUGUGCCAGCAGCCGCGGUAAGACAGAGGAUGCAAGCGUUAUCCGGAAUGAUUGGGCGUAAAGCGUCUGUAGGUUGUUUAAAAAGUAUUCUGUCAAAGAUUAGGGCUUAACCCUAGAUAGGCAGAAUAAACUUUUAAGCUAGAGUUUGGUAGAGGCAGAGGGAAUUCCCGUUGGAGCGGUGAAAUGCGUAGAUAUCGGGAGGAACACCAAAGGCGAAGGCACUCUGCUGGGCCAAUACUAACACUGAGAGACGAAAGCGAGGGGAGCAAAUGGGAUUAGAAACCCGAGUAGUCC
rnacentral:rRNA from 1 species